rnacentral:rRNA from 1 species
UGCGUAGGCGGUACGUUAAGUCAGUGGUGAAAUCCUUCCGCUCAACGGGAGAACUGCCAUUGAUACUGGCGUACUUGAGUAUGGACGAGGUAGGCGGAAUUUAUGGUGUAGCGGUGAAAUGCAUAGAUACCAUAAAGAACACCGAUAGCGUAGGCAGCUUACUAGACCGUAACUGACGCUGAGGCACGAAAGCGUGGGGAGCGAACAGGAUUAGAUACCCUGGUAGUCC